UACAGAGGUGGCAAGCGUUGUUCGGAAUUACUGGGCGUAAAGGGCGCGUAGGCGGCCUUGUAAGUCUCGUGUGAAAGCCCUCGGCUUAACUGAGGAUCUGCACGGGAUACUGCGAGGCUUGAGUUCGGGAGAGGAAAGCGGAAUUCCGGGUGUAGCGGUGAAAUGCGUAGAUAUUCGGAAGAACACCAGUGGCGAAGGCGGCUCACUGGUCCGGUACUGACGCUGAUGUGCGAAAGCGUGGGGAGCAAACAGG
rnacentral:rRNA from 1 species